CAGCGCUUUGAAUCAAGUUAUGAUGACCGACUUGAUGCCUUCAGCUCAGACUUCUAGCUCUCAUCCAGAGAUGGGCUCGUGGACCGCGCCUGCCUUCAGCACAGGAGGGCCCAGCCAAUCUAUCAAGCCUUGCCGCCUUAGGUCGUAUGUCAUGUCGUUUGAUUCCGAUACGCUCCAGAGGUAUGCGACAGUCAGGUCAAAGGAGGCCUUCGGCAUCAUUGAGAAGCACACGGAAGCGCUAUUUGGGAAGCCAGAGAUUGUGAUCACACCUGAAGGCACCCUUGAUUCUUCCAAGGAUGAGCAUAUUAGGAUAAGCUUUGCUGGGCUGAGAAGGCUGAUCCUGGAGGCUGUUACCUUCGGAUCGUUCCUCUGGGACGUUGAGAGCUUUGUGGAUUCCCGGUACCAUUUCGUGACCAGCUAAGAUGGUCAUCCU
rnacentral:lncRNA from 1 species